GCGCGCAUAGCUCAGUUGGUUUAGAGCAUUCGACUGAUACUCGAAAGGUCCUAGGUUCAAAUCCUAGUGCGCGCA
rnacentral:tRNA from 1 species